rnacentral:misc_RNA from 1 species
CGGGCUCCCGCGGCGGCCAGGCCUGCGCCGCCCGCCAACAGGGACGCGCCGCGGCGGCGCCUCCAUUUGCCCCCGAGCCGAGCCGUGGCUUUCCGGAUGAUCGGGAGACGCGGUCUGGACGGGCCGGGAAAGGAGCCGGGCGCCUGCGGAGACCCCGCCUCAGCGAGUACGCCCGGCCGGGCGGGCUGGGAGGAUGAGGACGGCUGCCCUGGACUUCCGCCGCCACAGGAGGGUUUUCGGCCGGACGCCGGGAGGGAGCUCCAGGCUGUGAGCUCCAUUUGUAAAGGUCUUAAUAACAAGAACAGUGACUUCGGCUCCGGAGCUUCAAGAUAGUGGCCUGCUUGGCCUGCCCAUCUCGGAUCUCUCCAGGAGGACCCAGCCACCCAAGCCCUGUGCCCCCGAGUCUUGGCUCCGAAGGAAAGUGAGGAGCCCAGGAAAAUGAGGAGCCCACCUGGAGAGAACCCUAGCCCCCAGGGGGAGCUUCCCAGCCCCGAGUCCUCUCGGCGUCUCUUCCGCCGUUUCCGCUACCAGGAGGCGGCGGGCCCCCGGGAGGCCCUGCAGCGCCUCUGGGACCUGUGCGGGGGCUGGCUGCGGCCUGAGAGGCACACCAAGGAGCAGAUUCUGGAGCUGCUGGUGCUGGAGCAGUUCCUGGCCAUCCUGCCCCGGGAGAUCCAGAGCUGGGUGCGGGCGCAGGAGCCUGAGAGCGGAGAGCAGGCUGUGGCCGCGGUGGAGGCACUGGAACGGGAGCCCGGGAGACCCUGGCAGUGGCUCAAGCACUGUGAAGACCCUGUGGUGAUUGAUGAUGGGGACAGCCCUCUGGACCAGGAGCAGGAGCAGCUGCCGGUAGAGCCCCACAGCGACCUUGCAAAGAACCAGGAUGCCCAGCCCAUAACCCUGGCACAGUGCC